rnacentral:rRNA from 1 species
UUAUCAGAGAGUUUGAUCCUGGCUCAGGAUGAACGCUGGCGGCGUGCUUAACACAUGCAAGUCGAACGGGGAACCUUUUAUUGAAGCUUCGGCAGAUUUAGAUUGUUUCUAGUGGCGGACGGGUGAGUAACGCGUGGGUAACCUGCCUUAUACAGGGGGAUAACAGUCAGAAAUGACUGCUAAUACCGCAUAAGCGCACAGAGCUGCAUGGC